rnacentral:misc_RNA from 1 species
UAUAACUAGAAGAACAGAAUACAACAGAAUUUAGGGCCUCUCUAAUGGGGAAGAAAACCCUAACCCUAAUUUAAUUGAAACAACAGAGCUCAAAUAUACACGGAUCAUGUGGCGAAACGAGCGCUUCCAAUUUAUUAAGAAUUCUGUUGCUGUUCUGGUGAAAUUUACUGACGAUGGCGAUCAAUUGAGUCUCACAGCUUCAAAAGGAACUCGAGAGAAGGAGACGGGGAGAGAAAUAGCGGAUGAGUUGAAGAUGAUGACAAAGGGCGCCCUUCAUGACCUUUUACAUUUAUUUUGUUUACAUUUUUGCUUUUUUUUUCACUAUUCACUUUUCCCUCUAUUUGAAAGGAGGCAGAGACUAAGGGCAUUUUACCUAAUUGAAAAACAAAAUUAUUAAAAAGGUGUGCAAUAGAAAAUAUUUGCUAAAAGGGAUAAAAG